UCCUGUAAAAUUGAGGGUCCUGUUGAGAAUGUUUUGAUUUCCAUAAACCUUUAAUUGUUGCUGAUAGUCCUCGGAAAAAUUGAGGCAUUUCUGAAUAUUUUCCCUCGUUAAGACACCAAUGAAUAAAUAAUGCUCCAAAAACAGGAAGAAAAGCACAAAAAUGUCUUAAUAUGGAUUUUCACAGCAGUAUUAACACUAUAAGGUCAUUAUUUGAAAACUUAAGUUUCUUAUGCUUUUGGAAAAGUUUUUAAAAUCCUGUCAGAAUUUCAAUAUAUUUAUGUAAGUGUGUCCAUGUUGAAAAGUUACUGUGUAUAAACUUCAAAAGAAUCUUGACCAGUCUCAAUAAUAUAUCUAAUCUGCUACCCAGUCACACAAAGAAUUCCGAAUUCCUCCUCCAAAUAUUGACAAAAGUGAUUGAAUGAAAAUAAGUGUUAAAUCUCCAUCAAAGAUGCUUUCGUAUCAAUAAUUGUAAACUGCAGAUGGACCUAAACCCUGGCAUUGGAACAAGUUUCACUUAACGAAGUUUUGUUCAGCUCAUAAUAUGCAUCUACUUUUGCAAUUAAUGACCUCGCUGUCAAACACUGUCCUAAGAUAUCAACCCCCUGAAUUUAUCUUUUCUUUUCUAAAUUCUGUCUUCUUUGUUAAGGUAUUUAAAUAGCAAUGAAGCUUGAAAUCUGUUCAUGUCUUUAGAAUGUUUGUUAAAUAAAUGUAAGUAAAAUAUUGAACUACCAAUUUAUAAACUGGCAAUCCUGUAUUCAAUAAAGCAAAUAAUGACAACCUCCCAAAUUAAAUUUACCAUUGAUUUGAAGGUCAAUGAAGGAAAUAUAAUAAUUUGUAUUUAAAAAACAUAUUCAAAUUUUUAAUUACAGUCUGUACUUUAACUGCUCUUCAUUGUAAACAAGAAAGUGAUGCUAAAGAGUAUUUUGAAAUCAUGUUUGUCUGCACUUGGAGACAUUUUAAUAUAUUUUGGAGGCUUUAUGCAAGUCUAUAUAUAAUUUGAAAUUAUUGAAUUACCAAAAUCUAUACACUGUACAUAAAUUUCAUUUCUCAACAUUUACAUAUGAAUAUUGUCACAUGCCAGUCAAAAUACAUUGUACAUAAAAAAAACACCACUAUUUAGAAUUACUGAAAAAUUGUUCAAUUAGUCAGAGCAGGUGUCCUGUCGAAUAGUUAGAAUAGGUAAGUAUUGGACAUUUAAACCCUCAUAUGGUACAUAUUAAAUCAUACUAUUUCUGACUAGUAUCAGUAAAUAGCUUCUUUAAAACAUAUAUAUUUAUAAUCAAAAACCAAAAUAGAAUUAUACACAUUCUUGUAACAGCAACCAUAUGAGUUUACAGUUAGCAAGGCAUGCUAAGUUCUCCCCAACACAGAAAAGUUAGAUUCAAAACAUACGCUAUUAAAUUUAAUAAAAGCAUUGACAACAAAAGUCAUUGAGAAGUCAAGAUUGCUUCAUCAUAAUUGAGCCUGAUUAAAAUCUGGUAAGAUUUCAACAAUAUUGAUUUCAAUAUUUAUGGAUUUGAUUUCACAAUCUAAAACAUUGUUCACUAUAAACAGGUUACACUGCCUACAGACUUCACUGUACAUAUGUAUAGGUAGGCACUGUAGGUUCCUGCCUACAGUGAAGUCACAUUCUUUUCAUUUAAUAACGCAAGAUCAAUAAAGAAACAAUUUUGAUUAUCUUUCAAUAUUCAUGACUUACUGUAUUGCUAUCUACAUCAUGUGAUGUAACACCACCUGACAAAUUUUACUCAGGUGACCUAAAAAUUAUUACACCUACACAACAAUGGAAAAGACCUAGGGCGAGUUAGAACAGAAAGCAGUGGACAAACAUGGGGUGGCGGAUGCUGGACCACUGAUCAUGGAGUGCUGGAAUAGCACUAAAAAGGGAAGGGAGAAAAUGCAAUGGACCAGACCAGGAAUCGGACCCAGGCUCCCUGAAUCAGGUGCUCAACCAAGUCACAUGAUAAUACUAAAUGUGAAGAUUACUGAAGAACUGCAGGAUGAUAAUUCCCAUGCCACAAAGAAAUUCAUUAAUAGAACAUGUCCAUGAUAAACAGACUUAUUGAAACAUGUCUACAAACAAGUGAUUGUCAUUUCAUAUUCACUCAAAUAAAACAAGAAUACACAUGGGUAAAUCA